rnacentral:misc_RNA from 1 species
UAGAGUGUAAAAAACUCCCAAACCCCUGUGAACAUACCACUGUUGCUUCGGCAGGUACGCCCCGGGCGCCACCGCGUGCCCCGGAACCAGGCGCCUGCCGGGGGACCACAAACUCUUGUUUUACUCUUUUGUAUCGUCUGAGUGGAUUAUCAAAUAAAUCA